UGUCAAGGCGGCGUGCCCCCACUUCGGUGUACUGUGUGUCGAGCAUAAAGGGCAGGCAGCUGUAUUGCUGGCCGAACAGAUUCGUCUGAUACGAGCGGAGCAUUAGUUUUCUUUUCCCUUUGGUUCAUCUAGCCCUGGUUCUGUCCCGGAUCGGGCGGGCAACAAUUGUGGCUAAUAAAGUGUAGGUGCAAUUUGCACAUAUCACACCACCACCCUUCUUGCACUAUGUGAGGGGUGUGUGUGUGCAAAAUAUGGCAAUAACAGUGGCAAACGAGAAAAAAACGGCUUCGCAACUAUCUAAUAUAUAGCCGCUGCUGCUGCCGCCGCCGCCACCGCCGCCGGAGUCAAGGCCCAAUCAAUCAAGGCUGGGUUGAGAGUUUCCCUUUCGACCUGAACAGAAGCUGAACCAAGGAACCCGGACCACGAACUGCUCUCAAUACUGCAAUGCUGAAAUGAAAACGGGGGUUUUGCGUUACCUUUCCCACCAGCUCCCACCCGGCCCUUACCUUCGUCAUCCAGAUCGAGGGACCGAAGAUGGCCGAUAUCAUAUGAAUGCCGAUGAUCGUGCACUGGGCCUCGGUUACGUCGAUGCGCCCGAACCGGAGCGUACCGGACACGUACGUCUGCCAGUGGGCACAGUAGAACAGUGUCAUCGCGCAGAAGCACUGGAAAAACAUCCACCGCGGGUAGUAGCCGAGCUGGACGGAGAUACAGGCCGACAGGGCGACAAACACGGUCGAGAUGGAGUCGCACCCGUGAUCGAACAGCUCGCCCAGCGGCGAGGACGAGUUGGUCCGGCGCGCCUGCUUGCCAUCGAUCGCGUCCAGGCUUUGGUAGAUGAACAGGCCGAUGCCGCACAGCGCCGACGACCAUCGCGGGGGUUCCUCACGGCCGGUGGGGCUGUAGCUGUUGGUGAUAAAAAUAAUGGAAGGUUUUUGUGUUAAUAAAAUGAACUUGUUUAGAGUAAUAAUCGGGAUUUUUUGCUUUCUUUUUGAA